CUCAGCUGGAGCCAGAACAGCCAAGAAAUCACUCCACCACAUUUAGGGCCACUCCAUUGGCUGCCCUGCCUUGGCUCGGCCCCGGAGGCAACUCGGCAGUUUGGCCCCAUCGAUGGUAUGAACAUUCCAAAUUCCCUACGGAAGCAGGAGGUAGAAAAGGAGCAGCUGAUUUCUCAUCUGUCAACUGAGUUUGCUUACCUGAUAGAGCUGUUAUUAGGACCAUGAUCUAAGCUCUG
rnacentral:lncRNA from 1 species